rnacentral:tRNA from 1 species
GGGGGAUUAGCUUAGUUGGGAGAGCGCUGCCCUUGCAAGGCAGAGGUCAUCGGUUCGAAUCCGAUAUCCUCCACCA